AGUGAACGCUGGCGGUAGGCCUAACACAUGCAAGUCGAACGGCAGCACAGUAAGAGCUUGCUCUUACGGGUGGCGAGUGGCGGACGGGUGAGGAAUACAUCGGAAUCUACUUUUUCGUGGGGGAUAACGUAGGGAAACUUACGCUAAUACCGCAUACGACCUACGGGUGAAAGCCGGGGAUCUUCGGACCUUGCGCGAUUGAAUGAGCCGAUGUCGGAUUAGCUAGUUGGCGGGGUAAAGGCCCACCAAGGCUACGAUCCGUAGCUGGUCUGAGAGGAUGAUCAGCCACACUGGAACUGAGACACGUUCCAGACUCCUACGGGAGGCAGCAGUGGGGAAUAUUGGACAAUGGGCGCAAGCCUGAUCCAGCCAUACCGCGUGGGUGAAGAAGGCCUUCGGGUUGUAAAGCCCUUUUGUUGGGAAAGAAAAGCAGCAGGUUAAUACCCCGCUGUUCUGACGGUACCCAAAGAAUAAGCACCGGCUAACUUCGUG
rnacentral:rRNA from 1 species